AGGUGGUGAUAAGAUACCUGCCCAGCCUGCAGAGGUCGGGAGGGGACUUUACAUGGACCAGGGUAGUCUGUAUGCCCAGCCCCAACUCCCUUCCCCUGCCCAGAGGAAGUCUCUCCGGGAACGUUGGCUAAUGGAUGGGGCAGCUGCAGUGCCAGAGCCAUCCGAAGACCCCACCUCGAAGGACCCCCAGUCUCCCGAGGGCCAGGCUCAGGCCCGAAUCCGGAACCUGGAAGACAGUUUGUUCACACUCCAGUCCCAGCUGCAACUGUUGCAAAGUGCUUCCACAGGUGCCCAGCACAAGCCCUCAGGCAGGCCCAGCUGGCGCAGACAGGGUCACCGUCCUCUCUCCCAGUCCAUUGUCGAGGCAGGUUCUGUAGGCCAGACUGAUCUGAACAAGAGAGCCUCCCUGCCGGCUGGACUAGUGGGCACGCCUCCAGAGUCCCCCUCUGAGCCCAGGGAGGAUGUCUUG
rnacentral:sRNA from 1 species